CGCACGGGUGCGUAACACGUAUGUAACCUACCUUUAACUGGGGCAUAGCUUCGAGAAAUCGAAAUUAAUACCCCAUAACAUUUAGAAAAGGCAUCUUUUCUUUAUCAAAGCUCAGGCGGUUAAGGAUGGACAUGCGGUGCAUUAGCUUGUUGGUGAGGUAACGGCUCACCAAGGCUACGAUGCAUAGGGGGUCUGAGAGGAUGAUCCCCCACACUGGUACUGAGACACGGACCAG
rnacentral:rRNA from 1 species